CUAGUCCACAGACAGGACCCGACUCAGACUGCCGGGAUCGUUACACUGUAUAAGGUACAGAACUUUCCACAUAUUCCUACGUUUACAGUUUUAUUUUACAGCUGGUAAUAGCAGCAACAUUUGUCAAUAUGUCUUCACAGACCUUUAGGUACCUUCUCCUGACCUACUGUAAUGUUACUCUUCCUCACCCUCCUUCCACCUUCAGGAUGCGCAUCAACCAGAUUCGUUUAGUCAGGGGUACUGACAAGAUCCUGCUCACCCUGGCAGACGUGAUCUUCAUCAUCCCCUCACUCAUUAAUAAGAAGCUCAGUUUAGAUGAGAGCAAAGUGGGUGAUAUGAGAAGAAAACCCUUAGGUGCGGAUCGUUAGAGCAUCUCUAUGCCCUUCUCUGACUCCACCGUCACUCCGGCAACCUAUGAAAACACAGGACUCCUUCUGCUCUUCUAAGAAUGGAUCAGAGAGUUCUUCUGAGGGUCAAAGUUCAGAACUAUCAAACGCAUACUUUUUACAGGGAGACUGGGCCUGGGUGAAAAGACUCCCAUCUGGAAACUUUCGAGACAUUACUCCCCAGACCAGUGACGUCUUUGAGUUGAACGAAGACAGUGAAGGACUUCAAGCAUCUCCUGCAGAAAGCGGUGAGGACAUUGUGGAUGAGUAGGGGACAGCUUUCUAUGUGAAGCUAUGAGCUACUCCUAAUCAAUGGACGUUUUUAGAAAUAGACAACAAUGCCUCAUUGGGACAGGUUGAGUUGGCAUUACUGGACAUCACUGGACAUGUUACAGUUGGCAUCAGUGGACAUAUUACAGAUGACAUCACUGGAUAUAUUACAGAUGACGUCACUGGAUAUAUUACAGAUGACAUCACUGGAUAUAUUACAGAUGACGUCACUGGAUAUAUUACAGAUGACAUCACUGGACAUAUUAGAGAUGGCAUCACUGGAUAUAUUACAGAUGACGUCACUGGAUAUAUUACAGAUGACAUCACUGGAUAUAUUACAGAUGACGUCACUGGAUAUAUUACAGAUGACAUCACUGGACAUAUUAGAGAUGGCAUCACUGGAUAUAUUACAGUACAAUAUACUGUAGAGAUUAUUCUGCAAUCUUAAUGAGGAGCUUUCAAAGAGGAAUUUGUCUCAGGAGAAGGAGAUACAGUGGGGGAAAAAAGUAUUUAGUCAGCCAC